rnacentral:rRNA from 1 species
UCCUCAAGGAAGAUAAUGACGGUACUUGAGGAGGAAGCCCCGGCUAACUACGUGCCAGCAGCCGCGGUAAUACGUAGGGGGCUAGCGUUAUCCGGAAUUACUGGGCGUAAAGGGUGCGUAGGUGGUUUCUUAAGUCAGAGGUGAAAGGCUACGGCUCAACCGUAGUAAGCCUUUGAAACUGGGAAACUUGAGUGCAGGAGAGGAGAGUGGAAUUCCUAGCGUAGCGGUGAAAUGCGUAGAUAUUAGGAGGAACACCAGUUGCGAAGGCGGCUCUCUGGACUGUAACUGACACUGAGGCACGAAAGCGUGGGGAGCAAACAGGAUUAGAUACCCUGGUAGUCCACGCCGUAAACGAUGAGUACUAGCUGUCGGAGGUUACCCCCUUCGGUGGCGCAGCUAACGCAUUAAGUACUCCGCCUGGGAAGUACGCUCGCAAGAGUGAAACUCAAAUGAAUUGACGG